GACGAGGGAUCCUAGCGUUGUUCGGAAUUAUUGGGCGUAAAGCGGGUGUAGGCGGCUCUAUAAGUCAGGUGUGAAAGCCCGAGGCUCAACCUCGGAAGUGCACUUGAUACUGUAGAGCUUGAAUGUGGUAGAGGUUACUGGAAUUGUUGGUGUAGUGGUGAAAUACGUAGAUAUCAACAGGAAUACCGGAGGCGAAGGCGGGUAACUGGGCCAACAUUGACGCUGAGACCCGAAAGCGUGGGGAUCAAACAGG
rnacentral:rRNA from 1 species